rnacentral:rRNA from 1 species
CUCCAGACUCCUACGGGAGGCAGCAGUGAGGAAUAUUGGUCAAUGGCCGGGAGGCUGAACCAGCCAAGUCGCGUGAGGGAAGACGGCCCUACGGGUUGUAAACCUCUUUUGUCAGGGAGCAAGGUGCAGGUCGGGACCUGCUGUGAGAGUACCUGAAGAAAAAGCAUCGGCUAACUCCGUGCCAGCAGCCGCGGUAAUACGGAGGAUGCGAGCGUUAUCCGGAUUUACUGGGUGUAAAGGGAGCGUAGACGGCAUGGCAAGUCAGAUGUGAAAGCCCGGGGCGCAACCCCGGGACUGCAUUUGAAACUGUCAGGCUGGAGUGCAGGAGAGGUAAGUGGAAUUCCUAGUGUAGCGGUGAAAUGCGUAGAUAUUAGGAGGAACACCAGUGGCGAAGGCGGCUUACUGGACUGUAACUGACGUUGAGGCUCGAAAGCGUGGGGAGCAAACAGGAUUAGAUACCCGUGUACUA